CCUACGGGUGGCAGCAGUGAGGAAUAUUGGUCAAUGGACGAGAGUCUGAACCAGCCAAGUAGCGUGAAGGAUGACGGCCCUAUGGGUUGUAAACUUCUUUUAUAAGAGGAUAAAACGAGGCACGUGUGCCUUUUUGCAUGUACUGUAUGAAUAAGGAUCGGCUAACUCCGUGCCAGCAGCCGCGGUAAUACGGAGGAUCCGAGCGUUAUCCGGAUUUAUUGGGUUUAAAGGGAGCGUAGAUGGGUUGUUAAGUCAGUGGUGAAAGUUUGCGGCUCAACCGUAAAAUUGCCAUUGAUACUGGCAGUCUAGAGUACAGUUGAGGUAGGCGGAAUGUGUGGUGUAGCGGUGAAAUGCUUAGAGAUCACGCAGAACCCCGAUUGCGAAGGCAGCCUACCAAACUGUUACUGACAUUGAUGCUCGAAAGUGUGGGUAUCAAACAGGAUUAGAUACCCGUGUAGUC
rnacentral:rRNA from 1 species